CGCACAAAGUGCCAGGAAAGAAUUAUUCAAGCCCUUCCCAGAAGGUAUCCUUCUGGCAAGGGUACUGUACUAAACUAACUAAAGUGGGGGAUAGUGAGGGGAUAAAUUUUCUUAAGGAACUCGGCAAAAUCCCAAUGGCCCACCAGGGCAUAUUGGAACACGGGCCUCGACUGUUUACCAAAAACAUAGCCCUCGGCUAAUAUGAAAAUAGAUGUAUAGAGGGUGAUGCCUGCCCAAUGGUUGUAUCUAAAAGCGGUUGAUAAAAGUUGACCUCGUAAGGACAAUUGAAUGGCCGCGGUAACACUGACCGUGAUAAUGUAGCGUAAUCAAUAGCCAAUUAAUUGUUGGCCAGUAUGAAUGGCGCCACGAAGGCCCCACUGUCUUAAGGAAAUUCCCAGUGAAAUUGAAUUCGUAGUGAAGAUGCUACGUCCAAUUUGUUAGACGAAAAGACCCCGUUGAGCUUUACUGGAGCACUUACAUGGCCCCGGCCUUCCCAUGCCUGGGAACCGGCCGAAUUUAAAUGGGCGGCUUAGAUUAUGUGGCAGCCCCCCGCUGGGGCAAAUGAAACACCACUCCCCCAUGUCAAAGGGGCUAACCCCCCCCCUUGGGGGGACAGUGUAAGUAGGACAGUUUGGUUGGGGCGACCACCUUUUAAAAAGUAACGAAGGUGCGCUUAAGGUGCGCAAUUAAUGACUGAAGCCUGACUGCGAGGGGGACACCCCGAGCAGACACCCCAAAGCCCGCCCGAAAGGCGGCGGUGGGGUGGGCCAUAGUGACCCGUUAAUUUAGAGUGGAAUAGUUAACGAUCAACGAAUAAAAGUUACCACGGGGAUAACAGCGUAAUAUCGUUAGAGAGUUCACAUCGACGACGAUGUUUGCGACCUCGAUGUUGAAUUGCGGCAUCCUGGGGUGCAGC
rnacentral:rRNA from 1 species